rnacentral:sRNA from 1 species
UGAGUAAAUGCACAUACGCACCUGGGUC